rnacentral:rRNA from 1 species
GACGAACCGAGCGAACGUUGUUCGGAAUCACUGGGAUUAAAGGGCGCGUAGGCGGCUUGCCAAGUCAGGGGUGAAAUCUUUCGGCUCAACCGGAAAAGUGCCUUUGAUACUGGCAGGCUCGAGCGAGGUAGGGGCAUGCGGAACUUCCGGUGGAGCGGUGAAAUGUGUUGAUAUCGGAAGGAACACCGAUGGCGAAAGCAGCGUGCUGGACCUCUUCUGACGCUGAGGCGCGAAAGCUAGGGUAGCGAACGGG